GUUCUUACCCUUGAUUUAAGAGAUGGUGCUGAUUCAGACAUGCGCACAGUGACACAGGUGCUAAAUGCAGUGCUGGAGGGAGUACAGAUCUGUGGAACCUGUUGCAGAAGCACUUUGGCAAUGUCACAGAGCAGAACUUAGUACUUUCGAGAAAAUGAAUGCUGAACUCUUACGAAGAGAUAAAGGUUAUUUGGUACAUAUUGGUGGUCUCUGCCCUUCAGUAUCUGAGGCUGAUUGAAGGUCUCAUUUCCAGAAAUACCAAGUUUCUGAAAUUUCAAUUUAUGAUUCUUCUACUAAUUACAGGUGUGUUUCCCAAAUUCAGUCAAAUGUGCAUUGCUGUGUGCCUGCUGUUCACUAGAGGUUCUUUACCAGACAUCGGCCACGGUGGUGAUAAAGGCCAUUCCCACAGGAGUGUCCCAGGCUAGUAUAGGGGGACACGUAGACAAAUAGCUGCAGUCAUUAGUUUGUGCUGUUCUUAAUCAGAUCUUUGUUAUUAGAGUGCCAUGGGCUCCAGAAAUGGAUAACUUUGGCUCAAUUCCCAGGUCUGUCAGCAACUUCAUGAAUAAAUUUGGGCAAUUUACUUAA